AUGAUCUGCGCUUGGUGUACUUACACUUUUUUUGGACUAAGGUAGUAGUGCAACUUUAAUGAGAAGAUUUACAAAAUCUGGUGGUGCUUACAUUUUGAUCUAUGCAUCUUUUCCCAGAAUUGAAUAACUGUGAGUUUGUGACCAUCGCCCUUGGCAUCUUUUAUGAUGUAUUUUGUGUGUGUUAGGUCAAGCAGUUCCUGUGAAAUGACUUUGGGAAUGGAGUGGUUCACUGGGGUAAUUAGCGGUACCACCACAUGCUGACAUGGAGUGUACGAGGUAUGUAUUUUCAGCUUGUUAAUUAGGAUGAAGUGGAAUACAUCAUAAAUAUUCUUUGCAUGACCGGUCAGGGACAUAUCAACACGUCCACUUAAUCAAGUUAAUCCAUGUUCAGUUCCUUAGUUUGCCUACCAUUGUCCGGAUUUACCAUGUAUUAUUUGACCGGAAAAAAUGCAUUGUUAAUCGCUUCGACGAACAAGUGAAUAUGUAGGUUGUAUCCCUCUUUAGUUUUUUAAUGGUCUAUUUCACUGACUCACUACUCCAUCAUACAUUAAGGUCAAGAAUUUUUCAUGUGUUGUCCCUUCUUAAAUAUGUUGCACUUGCUUUCUUCUGUCAGCAUUUUAGAAAUAUAAAUUUCCUCAAUUGAUUUCUUAUCCCGUUACCCCCAUGUAUGUAUUGGUUGUUGAGCAUCGUUCACUGUUACAAAGAUAGGUCAGUAGUCAGUAAGAUAAAUAAAAUUUUAAUAUAAGGUGGUAUUGUUCCAGUUUACUGGCGGUGCAUUUUCGCCCUUAAUGUUGUUGUUCUUGUAUUAUUUCUUAAGUUCUAAUUAAGACUAAUGAUCUAUUCACACAAGUCUUAAGAAAGGAGUGUGAAAUUAAUUUCUUAGCAAAGAAUCUAGAGUUAGACUUACUCGAUGGUUGAUCAGUCAAGUGAAGUAAUGAUCUGGAUGUGUUGGCAAAAUUUUUUUGCAAGUGCAUGGAGAAGCUAAGGAAUAUGUCAGCCACUUUCGUAUAUUGUGAUGUUAUUACUAUAUAUUAAAUGCGCUAGAUCUCAAUUCACAUAUCAUAAUCUAUCAAAUUGUGAUUAUGAUAUUUUGUUGCUCAAAAAAAUUAGAGUCAGGUAUGAUGACUUAAUAAUACUGAGACUUAAACUCAGCUACCAAGUAUUAAUAAAUUAAUGUUGCAUCUACUAAUAGCCUAAAUUAAUGAUUCAUGUUACAUAAUCAUACAAAGUUUACGUGUAAUUAGCAUGUGUGUUCUCAUUUGUCCAUUUUUAAAUAGUUUUAGGGAAUAACUAAAUACUAAUUUGAAAUGAAUAAGAUUAUUUUAACUAAUACCAAGUGUAGUUUGAUUCUCCUUUUAGUUUCUAAGAGAGGAAGGAAUUAGUUUUCUGUUUAAUAGCAGAAUAAUCAGACUUGUACCACUUUACUCACGAAAACAAGUUAUUUGGGUUUCUAACCGAGCUGACAUGCUGCUUCUUUAUAUAAUGCAAUCUACUUAUAAAGAAGGUGAUUUGUUAACCCCUUUCCGUCGUAGACAUAGUAUGUUGAAUUGGUAUUCCCAGUCUAUCAUGUUAAUUAGAAAACCUUAUGCCUAAAAAUGCUUUAAAGUGUCAUCAUUUGUUUUCUCCCAACCAUUUUUUAUCAUUACAUCGUUUUCCUGGCAUGCUCAAGAAAUUACCAGUGUGACUUGCCUUAUCCAGCCAUUGUCUGGACUCGCUGCUUAGUUUGGUUGCUAAUGUAGUCAGUACCGGCUUGCAUUGUAGUUCUCUUUAGUCCGAGCAAUGGCUGGAACUAAUUUUCACGGCUCAAAAGUAGUCCCAGCCACCGCUCCAUGGAAGAACUAACACUGCUGCUUUCUGUUUGGUAUAUUUUUUGGUUUGUUAGUCUUUAUAUGAGGUUUAACUAUUGUAGCUAAGAGAGAAACACGAGAAAGUAGCCAUUACAGUCACUUGUUAUAUUGGGAAAACAUCAACAGCUUGUAAUGUUUGUAUUCACGAAACAAAAUGAUUAUUUGGUAAAUAUAUUUUCUUAUGUCGUAGCAACGCACAUGUAUCUAGCUUUCUUAUUCAACAAGAACGAGAAAUACACUUCCAGAUUUGACCUGGUUGAGGAGGAAAUGUUGACAUGUUUUUUGACUUGGUUUUCCUUGAUUUCUUACAAUUUUUCUUUCCAUUUUCUUGAGUCUGUGUAGUUUAUCCCAUGUUAGCUGUUGUCAGUGUUCUAAUCUGAAUCAUAGGGGGAGUUGAAGUAGAUAGAAUAACCAUAUAUGUCCUACUACAUGAAGCAUUUUUCUGUUUGAUAAGCUAUGUUGUGCUGCAUUACCACAUCUCAUAUGAAAAUUAAUUCUGAUAUACCCGAAGUCCCCUACCAUGGAGAAGGAUAUGCUGCUAAGAGAUGGAGUUGGUAGUUAUACUAUUUACUAAAAUACCAGUUUGUGGCUUCAUACAAGUGUAGGCGCUAAAGCUCUUCAAUAUUUUUUCUGUUGAGAUAAAUAACCUAGCAUGCAUUUCUCCAUUAUGUUGAUUUCCUUAUUUUCCAUGAUAUUCCGCACAAAGCUAGGAGACAACAUUCUUGUAACCGAUGGUGUAUUGGUUAUGUUGGUUUGCCAACAAUUCUAGAAUUUCCUCUCAAACAAUGAAUUUUUGAAUUAGCAGUCGCUUUGAAUGUUAAGCUACCGAAUCAUAUGCUAUUGAGUUGUCAUUUAUGCAAAAAAUUCAAGUACUCAAGGAGAAUGUUGAAUUAUUUCUUUAAUUUGAUAUUCUCAAUAAUAGACACUAUAUGUUUGUGUACGUUUUUUGUAGCCACAAAAGCGUUAUCUUUAUAUUGUGUUGAAAGAAACAUUCGCAUUGCACUAUGCGUAAAUAACAAGAAAAAAUCAUGUCAUCAUCUCUCACGAUAUGUGAAGAUCAUUCCAUAGAGUUGCUAACAUUAAUAAAAGGUUUAAAGCAGUGGUAUGGUGAGAUGAUAAACUUUUAAAGCAACGACAAUGCUAAAACUAGGACAG
rnacentral:lncRNA from 1 species